UUUUAGAAAAGGAGCUCUUUCCCAUGGUUAGGGGAGAAGUCAGACUUUUUCCGGUUCCUCUUGGGCUGGACAUGAAGCAAUCUUCAGGCCUGAUGUUGACACCAGGUCAACCCCCCCCCUCCCCCUAGACCUUCUCUCUGGGCCGGGCUGCCUGGACUUCUGGGCUCUGACCUUGGCAGCAAGAAAAUGACCCACUGGCCAGGGGUUCCAUGGCAGCAAGAACCGUGCAGGGCCUUAGCAGAGACAGAGCAGAGCGGGACAGCAGCAGAGACCCACAUGGGUUGACGUGGCCCCCAACUCCACGGCACGCUGACUGGCAAGCCCCGGACAAGAGAGAUCCCAGCAAAUCAACAGAGCCUUGCGAUUCCCCUGCAUGCUGGAUGGUGCUGAGAAGCGAGUGGAUGGGAAGCUGCAAUACAAGGCACCAAGAUGCUAGAAGCUAUUCUGAGAGGUGACUGCGUUAGUGACUGGCAUAGCCAGAGCUCGAACCCAGCAGUCCAGCCCCAGAGCCCAAGCUCUCAGACGCUGGGCUUCCCAGCCACCUGUGCACCCUGUGGACACACGAGUAUCUGCAUCUCGAUCAUCACGUGAAUAUACUUCUCUUACCGGUCGUCAUGUGAAUAUACAGUCAUCGAACAGCAUGUAAAAAUAACAGACAAAGGUCAAAUAAUAACCAACUGCCUGCAAUCCAAAAUGGAGAGACAAUGUGACCCUGCUUUAAAUUAUUUUUAAUAUCUCAUUUCUCCAGCUAAGUCAUGAUGCGGGAUCCAUUGUCUCCUGCGUGAUGGUAGUUCUCCAGAGAGGUGAUGGAGUGUGGGUCAGUGGCACAGAGCUUGCCGAAAUUCUAGCUCUGUUCCUUAUCAGCUCUAUGAUUCUGGGUAAGUCAAACUCUUUCUAGCAACACUGUCAUUGUGCCAACUGUGUCCCCCCAGAUCCCUUUCCUGUUUUUUCGUACACACCGGCCGGUAGCCAACACGUAUGCCCUCUGGCUGCAGAAGUUGCCCGAGCCUGCGUGCAUGGAGAAUUGGAGCUGAAUGUGACCACUGGCCACAGGGGGUAUAUUUUCUGUAGCUGGUCCCCCAAUUAGGACAACACUGAGGUGUGACGACGCUGUUGGAGAGAUUCCCUGGGGUCUGAGCCAGACUCAGCCUGCAGGGGUCUUCUGCUUCAGUGUGCACCCGUGCUGACCUCGGUGUUUCUCGUUGCUAUUUCUUACUACCUGGGGAUGCUUUCUUCCUGGGAACUCUUUCAACCAGACAAACCGAAACCGAUAGACAUGCUACAAAGUGCCUGGCCAAUACUCUUCAAAAAUGUCAAGGUUGAGAAAGACCAAGAAAGAUUUAGAUGACGUUUCCACUUAAAAGAGACUAAAGAGUUGCGAUGAUUAAAUGCAACACAUAAUCCUGGAUGGGAUCUUGAACCAGGAAGAAUAAAUAGCUUAUAAAAGACAGUAUUGGGAUGAUCGACCAAAUCUUAAUAUGGGCGGCACGAGUAGUAGCAUCGAAACAAUGCUAAAUUUUGUGUUUUUGAUCACCGCACCAUGAUUGUAUAAAAGAAUGUUCUAGUGCUUAGGACGUACACAGCGACAUAUAUAGCGAUAAAGGUACACGAUGUCUCUAA